CCUACGGGGGGCUGCAGUGGGGAAUAUUGCGCAAUGGGCGAAAGCCUGAUGCAGCGACGCCGCGUGAGUGAUGAAGGUCUUCGGAUCGUAAACCUCUGUCAGCAGGGAAGAACGGUCACUGUGCUAAUCAGCAGUGAAUUGACGGUACCUGCAAAGGAAGCACCGGCUAACUCCGUGCCAGCAGCCGCGGUAAUACGGAGGGUGCGAGCGUUAAUCGGAAUUACUGGGCGUAAAGCGCUCGUAGGCGGUAUGUCAAGUCAAGGGUGAAAUCCUCGGGCUCAACGUGGGAACUGCCUUUGAAACUGGGAAACUGGAGUGUGUGAGAGGAUAGUGGAAUUCCAGGUGUAGGAGUGAAAGCCGUAGAUAUCUGGAGGAACAUCAGUGGCGAAGGCGACUAUCUGGCACAUAACUGACGCUGAGGAGCGAAAGCGUGGGUAGCAAACAGGAUUAGAUACCCCUGUAGUC
rnacentral:rRNA from 1 species